rnacentral:rRNA from 1 species
AACGAACGCUGGCGGCAGGCCUAACACAUGCAAGUCGAGCGCCCCCUUCAGUGCUCAGCGAUUGAAGCUGAGUACUGAUGGGGGAGCGGCGGACGGGUGAGUAACGCGUGGGAAUUUUCCUCAAGGUACGGAACAACUCAGGGAAACUUGGGCUAAUACCGUAUGAUGCAGAGAUGCCAAAGAUUUAUCGCCUUGGGAUAAGCCCGCGUCAGAUUAGGUAGUUGGUGGGGAAUGGCCUACCAAGCCUGCGAUCUGUAGCUGGUCUGAGAGGACGAUCAGCCACACUGGGACUGAGACACGGCCCAGACUCCUACGGGAGGCAGCAGUGGGGAAUCUUGCGCAAUGGGCGAAAGCCUGACGCAGCCAUGCCGCGUGAGUGAUGAAGGUCUUAGGAUUGUAAAGCUCUUUCG